rnacentral:rRNA from 1 species
AGAGUUUGAUUAUGGCUCAGGAUGAACGCUAGCUACAGGCUUAACACAUGCAAGUCGAGGGGCAGCAGGACGAUAGCUUGCUAUGUUGCUGGCGACCGGCGCACGGGUGAGUAACGCGUAUCCAACCUUCCCCUUAGUAGGGCAUAGCCCGGUGAAAAUCGGAUUAAUACCCUAUGUUGUGUCAUGAGGACAUCUGAAUAACACUAAAGAUUUAUCGCUAAGGGAUGGGGAUGCGUCCGAUUAGGUAGUCGGCGGGGUAACGGCCCACCGAGCCCUCGAUCGGUAGGGGUUCUGAGAGGAAGGUCCCCCACACUGGUACUGAGACACGGACCAGACUCCUACGGGAGGCAGCAGUGAGGAAUAUUGGUCAAUGGGCGCGAGCCUGAACCAGCCAAGUAGCGUGCAGGAUGACGGCCCUAUGGGUUGUAAACUGCUUUUAUACGGGGAUAAAGUGAGGGACGUGUCCCUUAUUGUAGGUACCGUAUGAAUAAGGACCGGCUAAUUCCGUGCCAGCCGCAGC